rnacentral:rRNA from 1 species
AUUGAACGCUGGCGGCAUGCCUAACACAUGCAAGUCGAGCGGAUGAAGGGAGCUUGCUCCUGGAUUCAGCGGCGGACGGGUGAGUAAUUCCUAGGAAUCUGCCUUGGAGUGGGGGAUAACGUCCGGAAACGGGCGCUAAUACCACAUACGUCCUGAGGGAGAAAGUGGGGGAUCUUCGGACCUCACGCUAUCAGAUGAUCCUAGGUCGGAUUAGCUAGUUGGUGGGGUAAAGGCCUACCAAGGCGACGAUCCGUAACUGGUCUGAGAGGAUGAUCAGUCACACUGGAACUGAGACACGGUCCAGACUCCUACGGGAGGCAGCAGUGGGGAAUAUUGGACAAUGGGCGAAAGCCUGAUCCAGCAAUGCCGCGUGUGUGAAGAAGGUCUUCGGAUUGUAAAGCACUUUAAGUUGGGAGGAAGAGCAGUAAGUUAAUACCUGGCUGUUUUGACGUUACCAAAAGAAUAAGCACCGGCUAACUUCGUG